rnacentral:rRNA from 1 species
GAUGAACGCUGGCGGCGUGCCUAAUACAUGCAAGUCGAACGAUGAAGCCGGAGCUUGCUCUGGUGAAUUAGUGGCGAACGGGUGAGUAACACGUGAGUAACCUGCCCUUGACUCUGGGAUAACUGCUAGAAAUGGUAGCUAAUACCGGAUACGACCCUCGGAGGCAUCUCCAGGGGGUGGAAAGAAUUUCGGUCAAGGAUGGACUCGCGGCCUAGCAGCUAGUUGGUGAGGUAAUGGCUCACCAAGGCGACGACGGGUAGCCGGCCUGAGAGGGUGACCGGCCACACUGGAACUGAGACACGGUCCAGACUCCUACGGGAGGCAGCAGUGGGGAAUAUUGCACAAUGGGCGAAAGCCUGAUGCAGCAACGCCGCGUGAGGGAUGAAGGCCUUCGGGUUGUAAACCUCUUUUAGCAGGGAAGAAGCGAAAGUGACGGUACCUGCAGAAAAAGCACCGGCUAACUACGUGCCAGCAGCCGCCGUAA